rnacentral:rRNA from 1 species
GAUCAUGGCUCAGGACGAACGCUGGCGGCGUGCUUAACACAUGCAAGUCGAACGGUGAAGCUCCAGCUUGCUGGAGUGGAUCAGUGGCGAACGGGUGAGUAACACGUGAGCAACCUGCCCCUGACUCUGGAAUAAGCGCUGGAAACGGCGUCUAAUACUGGAUACGAGAAGGGUCCGCAUGGGCACUUUCUGGAAAGUUUUUCGGUUGGGGAUGGGCUCGCGGCCUAUCAGCUUGUUGG